rnacentral:rRNA from 1 species
CCUACGGGGGGCUGCAGUAGGGAAUAUUGCUCAAUGGGGGAAACCCUGAAGCAGCAACGCCGCGUGGAGGAUGAAGGUUUUAGGAUUGUAAACUCCUUUUGUUAGAGAAGAUUAUGACGGUAUCUAACGAAUAAGCACCGGCUAACACCGUGCCAGCAGCCGCGGUAAUACGGAGGGUGCAAGCGUUACUCGGGAUCACUGGGCGUAAAGAUUGCGUAGGGGGGGUAAUAAGUCAGAUGUGAAAUCCUGUAGUUUAACUACAGGACUGCGUUUGAAACUGUUACUCUGGAGUGUGGGAGAGGUAAGUGGAAUUCUUGGUGUAGGGGUGAAAUCCGUAGAGAUCAAGAAGAAUACUCAUUGCGAAGGCGGCCUGCUGGAACAUUACUGACGCUGAUGCACGAAAGCGUGGGGAGCAAACAGGAUUAGAUACCCUAGUAGUC